UCAGGUAGGAAUACCCGCUGAACUUAAGCAUAUCAAUAAGCGGAGGAAAAGAAACCAACAGGGAUUGCCCCAGUAACGGCGAGUGAAGCGGCAACAGCUCAAAUUUGAAAUCUGGCCCCAGGCCCGAGUUGUAAUUUGCAGAGGAUGCUUUUGGCGCGGUGCCUUCCGAGUUCCCUGGAACGGGACGCCAUAGAGGGUGAGAGCCCCGUACGGUUGGACACCAAGCCUUUGUAAAGCUCCUUCGACGAGUCGAGUAGUUUGGGAAUGCUGCUCAAAAUGGG
rnacentral:ncRNA from 1 species